rnacentral:lncRNA from 1 species
UGUCAAGGGUCAUGCCAACAGGUCAAGGUGAUGACUGCAUGUUAUAGGUCACCUGCAUAUUGUGGGUCAUUCCUACAUGUCAAGGGUCACACCCACAUGUCAAGGGUCAUGCCAACAGGUCAAGGUGAUGACCGCAUGUUAUAGGUCACCUGCAUAUGGUGGGUCAUUCCUACAUGCAGUGGGUCACAUUCACAUGUCAAGGGUCAUGCCAACAGGUCAAGGUGAUGACCGCAUGUUAUAGGUCACCUGCAUAUUGUGGGUCAUUCCUACAUGUCAAGGGUCAUGCCAACAGGUCAAGGUGAUGACCGCAUGUUAUAGGUCACCUGCAUAGUGUGGGUGAUUCCUACAUGUCAAGUGUCACGCCACAUGUCAAGGGUCAUGCCAACAGGUCAAGGUGAUGACCGCAUGUUAUAGGUCACCUACAUAGUGUGGGUCAUUCCUACAUGUCAAGGGUCACACCCACAUGUCAAGGGUCAUGCCAACAGGUCAUGGUGAUGACCGCAUGUUAUAGGUCACCUGCAUAUUGUGGGUCAUUCCUACAUGCUGUGGGUCACAUUCACAUGUCAAGGGUCAUGCCAACAGGUCAAGGUGAUGACCGCAUGUUAUAGGUCACCUGCAUAUUGUGGGUCAUUCCUACAUGUCAAGGGUCAUGCUAACAGGUCAAGGUGAUGACUGCAUGUUAUAGGUCACCUGCAUAGUGUGGGUGAUUCCUACAUGUCAAGGGUCACAUCAACAUGUCAAGGGUCAUGCCAACAGGUCGAGGUGAUGACCGCAUGUUAUAGGUCACCUGCAUAGUGUGGGUCAUUCCUACAUGUCAAGGGUCACGUCCACAUGUCAAGGGUCAUGCCAACAGGUCAAGGUGAUGACUGCAUGUUAUAGGUCACCUGCAUAGUGUGGGUGAUUCCUACAUGUCAAGGGUCACAUCAACAUGUCAAGGGUCAUGCCAACAGGUCGAGGUGAUGACCGCAUGUUAUAGGUCACCUGCAUAGUGUGGGUCAUUCCUACAUGUCAAGGGUCACGUCCACAUGUCAAGGGUCAUGCCAACAGGUCAAGGUGAUGACCACAUGUUAUAGGUCACCUGCAUAUUGUGGGUGAUUCCUACAUGUCAAGGGUCACGCCACAUGUCAAGGGUCAUGCCAACAGGUCAAGGUGAUGACCGCAUGUUAUAGGUCACCUGCAUAUUGUGGGUGAUUCCUACAUGUCAAGGGUCAUGCCAACAGGUCAAGGUGAUGACUGCAUGUUAUAGAUCACCUGCAUAGUGUGGGUGAUUCCUACAUGUCAAGGGUCACAUCAACAUGUCAAGGGUCAUGCAUACAGGUCAAGGUGAUGACCGCAUGUUAUAGGUCACCUGCAUAGUGUGGGUCAUUCCUACAUGUCAAGGGUCACGCCACAUGUCAAGGGUCAUGCCAACAGGUCAAGGUGAUGACCGCAUGUUAUAGGUCACCUGCAUAGUGUGGGUCAUUCCUACAUGUCAUGGGUCACGUCCACAUGUCAAGGGUCAUGCCAACAGGUCAAGGUGAUGACCGCAUGUUAUAGGUCACCUGCAUAUUGUGGGUCAUUCCUACAUGUCAUGGGUCACGUCCACAUGUCAAGGGUCAUGCCAACAGGUCAAGGUGAUGACCGCAUGUUAUAGGUCACCUACAUAGUGUGGGUCAUUCCUACAUGUCAAGGGUCACGUCCACAUGUCAAGGGUCAUGCCAACAGGUCAAGGUGAUGACCGCAUGUUAUAGGUCACCUGCAUAUUGUGGGUCAUUCUUACAUGUCAUGGGUCACGUCACAUGUCAAGGGUCAUGCCAACAGGUCAAGGUGAUGACCGCAUGUUAUAGGUCACCUACAUAAUGUGGGUCAUUCCUACAUGUCAAGGGUCACGCCCAUGCCUGCAUUUGCCAUUCAAUGGCUGCUUCAUCUGGUCAUUUACGUGGAUGUCUGUACACAUUGUAACUAGUUGUGAAGUUCACAGUAUACCAUUUCUGUUUCAAAAAUAAUAUUUCCAUGGGUAAUAAGGUAAACACUAGUUUUAUUUUUCUUCAUAUUUUUCAGUGCGGCAAAAAUCAACCAGUUAAUUUUCUGUUUUAGUUAUUCAUUCAUUUUCCGGAGAGAAUCUCAUUGCACAGUUUUAGUCUACUCCAGAAAAAUGGAAGUUGUAACAGAUGUCUGUCUGAUCCCUAGUUGCCAUGGUUACAUGUUGAAAACACUUGACAAGAAGGCAAUAAUUACUGUAUCUCAUCACCCAUAUACACGAUACUCUUGUUAAAAUUUAUACACACCUGCUGUAACAGAUCAGUAAAGUAUUCUAAGAAAUUAAUGUAUGCUAAUAUUCUUGACAUACAAUGUUCGCAGUAAGUGUUUGUUAGUAGUGCGGCCAUUACGGUUGUGACCUGAGAAAACUUAUCUCUAAUUUUUUGUCUUAACAAACUGGUCGAAUAUGCCUCAAUUUUGAGGGGGCUAAGGUGACCCAGGUUCCCUAAAUUUUAGUGCAUCCCUUAGCCAUGCCAUGUGAUUGUAGGUUCAAAUCUCAAAUGUUUAGGUUUGGCAGCAACAAACCCGUGUACUAGGGUUUCACCAAUCGUUAAAUGACAAAUACAAAGUAAUGCAUUAUUUCAGGAUUUUCUCCCAAUUAAGAUGACGCGUUAAAACUGAAAUAUUGUUUAAGGCAACGUGUAACUAAACUCACAUAAUUUCUACAUUGUGACUCCUUGAAAUGUAGCCAUACUUUUGUUUAUCAGGAAAAAUAUGUUGUGUCAGUUUAUGUUGUUAAAGGCAGCAGUGAUGUCUCUAGACCAGGAGACGACGUGCACAACGUGACCUUAGCACGUGAUCACAUUUUGCACGUGGUUCCAGGGUUGUCACGUUAGUACUAGGGGUGAAACGAUACAUCAGGGUCACGGUAUCUUACCUAUCGCGAUAUGCAUGUUUACAGCAAAUAGUAUUGAAACUUCUUGAAAAUACAUACUUCUGAAGAAAAGUUAGCUGUUGACUGUUGUAGGGGCAAGUUUUAGUAUUGAGCUUUAAAAGCUAAUAAUGACACUUUGAACGGCAUUUAGAAGUGAUACACUGACUGACUGAGUUUGGUUUUACGCCGCUUUUAGCAAUAUUCCAGCAACAUCAUAGCGGGGGACACCAGAAAUGGGCUUCAAACAUUGUGCCCAUGUGGGGAUUCGAACCCGGGUCUUCGGCGUGACGAGCUAACGCUUUAACCACUAUGCUACCCCACCGCCCCAGAAGUGAUAUACAUAAAGACGACAGUUUAUGGAUGUCACCUUCUUUAUUACGAGAAAAACGUUUUGGAGUAUAUUCUUACACUUUCAUCAAUCACCUGAAAUGUCGUGUUCCUCAGAAUUUAGACAUUGACAUCCAUCUUGCUUUAAAUUAUGUCACUGACAAAAAUGCUGGGUGGUCUUGAUAGAGUAGCAAUUAAUAUAUUUUAUAUUUUUGAGUAUUGUCCUGUAUCAGUAGCCUCGUGGCUCAAGUGUACUCUCGUCACGCCGAAGAUUUGGGUUCGAUUCCCCUCAUGGGUACAAUGUGUGAAGCCCAUUUUUGGUGUCCCCCGCCGUGAUAUUGCUGGAAUGUUGCUAAAAGCAGCGUAAAACCAGUCACUCACUCAGUACAGAAAGAAACUUUAUGUAUUGUAUCGUGCGAAAACUCAAGAUGCACAGUCGUAUCAUUUCACCCCUAAUUAGCAUCCUAUUUUCACACCUCAUAUCCAGUCAUACAUAGACAAGUUCAUUUCAGUUUCAUGCGUUUAAGUGUGUAGUGUGUCAUAUAUAUCGUUGUCUUUCAAAAUGUUUAUUUUCAUUAUGAUGUAACCAGGACACCGUCCUAUAGAGCAAUCUGAGCGUUAUGUCUGUCGCACCUCGAUUGCUUUGUGGGCCUUGUUUCUUUAUGUUAGCAUGUUUGUAGUCAUUACAAUCUUCACAGAUCCUCAUACGCUGAAGUACCAAUGUGCAUGUGGAAAUUCUUUGCUGGAUAUAUUUGGAAGGGAGGACAAGAUGGAAUAAGGGUCCUUCAUUGCAUUCAGUUAUUGGUUUGACAGUUUUCAGACAUGUUAUAAUGGCCAACAAGAAGUAUUUGCAGUAUUCAGCAAAGUGGUCCUGUAAUCGUCACAUGGCUAACUUCUAAACCAGUCUUUUAGUAGUGAGUGAGUUUAGUUUUACGCCGCGCUCAGCAAUAUUCCAGCUCUAUGGCGGCUGUCUGUAAAUAAUCAAGUGUAGACCAGACAGGCUAGCGGGCCAGUGGCUAUUUCGAACACUGUCAUAGACUGCUGUCAUUUAGCUGGGCCAUUGCUGAUGUUAAACAAACAAGGAGAAUAAUCGAUAUGAGUGCCACUUACUCAGACUGAAAAUUUACAUCACCCUCUGAGGACAUGUUUGCAGAAAAUGAAAUCCGUUUCAUACAAACAACUAUAAACAAAUCUAAUGUCCUUUCUAACAAUUUCUAAAGCAUUUACAAAUUUCUGAAAUUAUGCUGAUCAUGGGCCCUUAUUAUACCAUGCCCUUUCCCAUGUCAAAGAGUAUAUUUUUAAUAACCAAUCAGAACGGAGAUCCUCAUACAGCUGUUUAAUAUUUGUUUACUGUUUUCAUUUGGCCAUGGAUCUAAAUGAGAUGUUUUUACCUGAUAGUUCCAGUUAUUCACCCUAUCUUAUCUGAGCACCAAGGAACCUACACCUUGAAGUGUCUUGUGUGAGUUUUCAUGUCUACAAAUCACGAUUUUUGAAUCUGGGUUGGUAAAGAAAUGAAGCACAAAGAAUGAUGUCUUACUAAGGAACCCUUGCUUUCUUCAUCCAGAUUAGACAGUCUCAUGAUAUUCAUGUAGAAAUGUGUUGUAUCAAAUUCAAAAUGAUUUUUCUGAGAAUGUUGUUUUUUCAGUUAGUUAUCUUCAUAUCAUUUCAUUUAGAUUCAAGGCUGAACUGAAGUAAAUUUUUGACAAGUCAAAAAGUACUCUUGAGGUAUGUGAAUUGUGAGAAAGCUUUUGUAGGUGUGAUUGGUGUUAAAUAUAAAUUUUGUAUUUGCUCUUAUGUGAUAUUUGUUUUCAGUGAAAAGAUUGAUAGUGCUAAAUUAUUUUUUUCCAAUAAACUUGAUUAAACUGUUUCUUUUAAAUCUGCAUUUUAAAUGCAUAUGGUCCCAUAAGGCAAAUGUUUUGUUAGGAAACUAUUUCAUUGAAAUUAUGAAAAACAACAACAUUAGUUCUGUCUCAUUUCAGUUCAGUAUUAUAAAAUACAGCUUGACUUCCACUUUUGUAGAAUUAUGAAUCCACCUUGGGCUAAAGUUAUAAAAAGAUAUGCAUAGUUUAAACAUGAAUGUAUGCAUAUAUUUAUCAAACUUAUAUUUGAAGAUGCAUUCUUAGGAACAUACCUCGGCUUAACCUAACAAAGUUUAAAGGAUUGUUUGAUAUUUGGCAUAUUGGCUAGAACAGUCCAUGAUUAAAACGAAUUCAGUAAGUUAUUGUUUGAAAUAUUUAAAAAUAGUUUGAAAGAAUUGGAUGAAUCUGAUUUUGAAUGCAAGUUUCUGUCUCUAUGCAGUCCAAUGCAAUUAAGAUGUCUGAUAAUCCUGUUGUUGAGGAUUGACAGUGUAGAGUUGUACACAUGUAUGGCAGUAGAAUAGCUCAUCAGUGGAUGAGUUACCAUAGAAACUGAUGUCAUCAUGGUACGUUACAGUUUCACUAUCCAGGAUGAAAGGAAGUAAACAUUAAAAUGUAAAUUUAAAUUCUAAUAUUAAGGAAAAUGUCCUUAUUUCAUAUCUGACAUUGAGAAUCAAAAGUUUGAAAACUUGGCCCUGUUCUACAAAAUGAUCUUAGUGCUAAGAUGAUAGUUGGGUCAAGGGUAGUUGUACUAAGAUCCCUUUGUGUUAUGGGGCCCAGGGCCCAGUUUCAUGAAGCAGUCUUAGCACAAGGGCUCUUGCAUUCAUCAAUUAUGAAACGUGAUGCAUAAAGAUUGCUUUGUGAACAUAUCCCUCACCAGAAAGCACAAUCUGCCUCUUGCAUUAAGGUGUAGAAGGGCCAUUAUUUUGAACACAGUACCUGCAAAUCGUAAAAUAGUUUUUAUUAUUUUGACCAAACUAUCAUAACUGGCAGUAUGGUUAGUGAAAAUUUGCAAACCAUAUUUUUAAAAAUGUGUAGCCUAAGUCACUGUCCCAGUUAAGUUGAUAACUAUGUUGAUGCUAUGUUAUUAUCCUUAAAAAUCUCAUCCUUUCAAAAAGGGAAUAUUUGUGAUUUGGUUUAACAGGUGAGAGAACCAAUAAGCAUGGCUAUAUUCACAGAACAAGUCGAGCAUUUCAGCCUGUACAUAGCAAUGGACAUGAAUGUAUUCAUCAUCCUUACCAUUAUCAUGCCUUGUGUAAAUAGCGAGAUACAUGUUUGUGUUCAUGAAUUCAUUAUGAGUCACAGACCGAAUGGAUUGGCUGGACUUGGACUGUCGAUAUCUUUUUGAGACUUUGUGAAUGCUACCCUGUACUUUAUUUACAUCAGUUUGGUGUGCUUGGAUUGUUUAGGUGAAUGUUGAUAUCAAAUAAACCAGAUUUUCAAUCAUGGA